rnacentral:rRNA from 1 species
UACGAAGGGGGCUAGCGUUGUUCGGAAUUACUGGGCGUAAAGCGCACGCAGGCGGAUUGAUACGUCGGGGGUGAAAUCCCGGGGCUCAACCUCGGAAUUGCCUUCGAUACUGUCUGUCUUGAGUCCGGGAGAGGUGAGUGGAAUUCCUAGUGUAGAGGUGAAAUUCGUAGAUAUUAGGAAGAACACCAGUGGCGAAGGCGGCUCACUGGCCCGGUACUGACGCUCAUGUGCGAAAGCGUGGGGAGCAAACAGG